UAACCUUGUGCAUAGAGUUCUGAGAAGGCCAAGAAUCUGAGGACUCAAGUAAGCCAAAGCGUCCAACCAACUGCCUGAGUCUGGCCCAGAUCAUAGGUAAAUCCUAUUUUUGGAAGCUUCUUUAGAUGGUUUUGGUAAGCAUUCUACUCAUGCUAUGACUGGCUGGGCAUAGCAAGAGUGUAAAGAAAAUGGAGAGCUGACAUUGCUUCCUCAUCUCACUGUUUUUAUCUUUAGGUGUAUUACAGCUUCCCUGUGGUCUUUCUUUGCAAAGAAUAGCUGUUUAGAUUUUCUGGCCCAAAUCCAUGCUUUACAUUGACCAACUGUCCUGUCAUUACCUAGUCAUGUUAUCCUUCCAAUUUCAUGAAUGAUUUAUUAAAGAUAGAUUGUGAGGAUGUUUUUGUAUAGUAUAGUAUAACGUGUACUUGAAAACAUGGAUAUAUUUAGUGGAAAAAUAGACCUAUUACAUAGUCUAACUCUGAUUAAUAUAUAUUCUGUAACUUACAAUAAACGCAAAUAUAUUGUUUGUCCAUAAUAUGAUAUUAUUAAAGCUAUCAUCAAAUCUAUCUUGAUACUACAUUACCAUUAAAGUGAACAUACAAGGUUAAUUAUAUCUUAUAUUCCAUGGGAGUAUGAAGCACAUUGGGAGGUAAUUUGUAUAUUACAGAAUUUAUUAACAACAAUAGAUUUAACAGCUACUAGGUCAACGUAAGACAUUUAUUUGGGUGGAAAUACGUUACUUAAAUUCGGAAGAUUUAUAAAUCAGUGAACUUUGCUUGGGUGUCUGCUCCCUGACCUUAAAAUAGCUCCAUUAAGGUUGUUAUAAUGAACUCAUUAUUUAUAUUUUCUUCUAGUCCACAUUCAGAAAAGUUUUUAGUAGGUGUAAUAAUCUGUUUAACACACUCAGAUUUUGUAGUGAAUACAGACGAUCCCAAAGAGAAAGAUGCUAGUUCUGAGUGAGGAGCUAAAUUGCACAAUAAGCUACAACACUGCAAAAGGGAUCCCCAACCCUCUUUAAAAGGCCAUUUCACAUCAUUAGUGCAUAAUUAAGUGAAUCAAGGAGGUUUAGUAAUAAAUGUAUUUACUUUCAAUUAUCUUCAGGAAAACCUGUCCAAAUGAUCGUUUCCAAGCCCAGAGACUUCAGACAGAGCCUGUGAAUUGUGCCUGCUGUUGUGAAUCACAGGAAUGCCUCAGUGAACUCAUCUAGCCCUCUGUAUUAUAUGUUAAACAUGUAAGAGGGAUAUAGAAAAGGAUACUAUACAUAGCCUAAUAUCCUGACAGUGUGUAUUCCUGGGGCUCUUCCUCUUAUUCAGAAAACACUCCAGGAAUCAGUGAUGGAUGAAAAAAGGAGGACACUAAGAAACAGGUCAAAGGUGACAACUGAAUAAAAGUUGCUGCAGGCUUUAACCUUAAAGUACUGAAGAAAAAAAAUUCUGCUGAGAUUUGGUAGCAAUACAUAUAACAGAAGGCUGAAGUCCAAAAAUCUCUAAGGUAUUUGGAGAUAUAGAAAGGCCAGAUUAGAGGUCUUAUCUUUUCCUUCCUUCAGAGUCAAUUCUUUGUUAACUCUACAGUGUCUAGUACUAACAUUUGUGGUAAAAAUCUUUGACCGACUAAUUGAAACAUGUUAUAGGAGAUUGCAGCAAAGCACAAACCUAAAUGCACAUUGUCUUUUCCAAAAAGCUAUUCUAAAAAUCUAACUGUGGCUCUAGUUUGAAUACAUUCAAAGCCUACAUCUGAGCUCCUUCUCUGGAAUUAACCCAGAUGUUUUAGUCUCAGCCUCAUCUAGAGCUUUUUUAAAGCAGAUAAUAGGAAGAGAGAUAAAAGAGAAAUCUGUUUAAACGGAGAAAGAUACUCAGAAUAAAAUAUGUAUUUGGUCUGUGUCUGUUUCUGUUUCUGUUUGCUUUUACUGUCUUUCUCAGCAUUCUUUCUGUAGAGCCCUCAACCCAGAAAUCCAGUAUUCUUGUGCUGACCUCUAAGUUUGCAGAGGCCACAUUUCACUCUUUGCAGACCUACCUUCCCACAGUAGUCCAUUUAAGUUUCACUUGUAUUUUCUUCUUAGCUAUCCAAACUUGCCUUUGUGAAAAUAUGGCAGGACUAAAAGUUUUUCAUGGAGUUCCAAGUGUCUUCCCCAUCCCUCUUGUCAAAUCCAAUUGACCAACUCAUGGCUUCUAAAACUAAAAGCCUAGUCUCAUUGUUCCUCCUGCCUGUGCUAUUAUUACCAUAGCCUCAGUUUUCCCAUACUUUCCAUGAAUUUGGUCAAUGACCAAUUCUCAAAUUUAAACUCAACUCUAACCUUUUUUGAUCAAGUUUAUGAAUUUUUAAUGAUCUUGCUCCACCCAGAACAGUCAUCUUGAGCUGUCGUCAAUUCAAAAGGUUUCAAUGACGGCUUGAGCUAAUGGCUUUUCUUUGGUUUUUCUUUUUUACCACUUGUCUUGAUCCUCUUUUCCUCAGGACAUGGUUCUUUGUUGAAUAUUGUGAUUUGAUAAAUCAAUCUAGGUUGUAGGUUUAUGAUUGUCAAUGAAUAAAUGUACUCUCUCAUUGAAGUAACACAAAUAUGUGUCAAUAGGUACCUGUGAGUAACUUAGAAAUUUACUCCAAAAGAGAAUAUGAUAAUCUUAAUUUAUCAGACUAAAUAGGAGAGGUAAUUGAAGGCAAAGAAUGGUCCAUAUUCAAAAAUCAUUAAUGCCACCACUGUACCAGGUUUCUGAGUACCUAUGCAUUUAUUCUAACAACCUAGCAUCUAUUUCAGUCUGCAAAGGAGAUUCCAUCUAAGAAAGUAUAGCAUUAAAAAUCUAGAGCAGAGAAAAGGAAGUCAUGUCUUCACUGGGGCACCCUUGCCUCUCAUUCUCAACUCUGAAGUAUCUGCAAUAUUUUUUUUUCCUCAAGGGAGUAUCAUCACAUAUAUAAGAUUUAAAAUACCUCACCACAGGUUUCUAAUUUCAUUUAAGACAAACAUGGCAUCAGGACUCAUAAUCAAGUCUGUUUACGAAGCAUGUGCAUUUAGUGUUCAAUUUAUCAUGUCUUAAAAUGGGCUACUAUAAAAUAUUCCUUCUAUAUGGGCAUAUUUUAAAAAAUUGACUCAUUAACAAUUGGAAAGUUGUCUUUGUGUAAUUUUAUUAUCUAUAUCAUUAAGGUCCUCUUUUUGUAUUUAAUUUGUUUGUUUUUUUGUCUGUUUUCUUAGAGACAGGGUCUUGCUCCAUCACCCAGGCUGGAGUUCAGUGGCAUAUUCACAGCUCACUGCAGCUUUCACCUUCCAGGUUCAAGUUGUCUUCCCACCUCAGACUCCCAAGUAGCUGGGACCACAGGAGGAAAUCUCUUCACUGCUGGCACUGACAAUGGAAGACUGAGGGUGCCCGGGAUCCUUCACCCCCACAUCCAGUGAGUCCACGGAACCCAGGGUAACUGGGAUGGUAUCUGAUGAUAGCAAAUUGGAGUCAGUGUUAGCAAGACUCUCCCACUUGGAAAGACAAAAUAGUGUAUAGUCAUUCACACUGUGAACUCUAUUUCCAAGAAGAAAUGCAGAAACUUAACAGGAAAACGGAAAUCCACCAAUUCUCUGAAAGAAGCUGCAUGCUGCAGCCUACAUUGUAAGGUAGGCAAAAAACUGUUUUAACUUCCCAGAAUGUGAGAGGGAAAGAGAGUGCUUCGGGAUAUACCCUCCCACCAGGAAACCUGGAAAUCCAGCCCUCAGGAAAAGCCUGAACGCUACACAGAGCUGGUACUGAUUUAGGGAGCAGUGAGGAAUGGGAAGAGCCUUGUGUGGGACCUUGUGGAAGUCACCCAAUUAACUCAGGCAACAUUUGCAAGUUGAAAGAAGCUCCUACCUGAAUUUUGUGAAAUAGCUAUUUCCCAGGGAGGCUUCUGGUCUGCGGCAGUCUUAGUUCUGAAUAUAGACGUCCUGGAAUUUAGCUCACUGCUGUUAGCAGAAAUCUACAGGUGUGAGAACUACCUUGCCAAGUGCAUGGGAUCUGGGUGGGGCUUACUGAUGCCUGCUGUGCCCCACUUCUUGCACAAACUAUUCUGUGCAGUAGAGGCAGCUUUUCUCCACUCUGGUACAUUACAUCAGUGGUGAGGUAACUGUCCCUCAACUCCCACAGUGGCUGCAGAUUGCCCCACAUAUGGAGAGUCAGAGCAUGGAUCUCUCUGACCCAGCCCACACCUGAUUUUGCCCCUCUACCCACACUGAUAGCCUAACACAAAAGACAGGAACUUUUGGGAGCUUUAUGUCCCCACCCAUCACCUGAGAAACCAGAGUGCCUCCUUUGGGUAACAUAAGGCAAACACAAAUCUCAACACUACUACUGCAGCUGAUGCUCCUUUGCAAACACGACCUCCUAGCUGGAGGCCAACCAACACAGUCCAUUACAGCACUUUCAGGUAGAUAACACUGCACCCCGGAAGGAGAAAAUUUGUACAUGAUAUCAGCUAUCACCAUUGCCUGCACCAACAUGACUAACCAGGAAGUCCUGAUACUAUCUACGUGACCAGUUUAUUUUUGCUGCAACUGGCAUUUGAGAAAGCCAACACACUAACACUAUCCAUAGCCAAAGAAUCUCAACGAGUCUACAUUACUCCCCUGCCGCCUGCAUCAGAACUGGUGCUGGUACUUGAUACUGGGAGACUUGAGGACAGGUCACAUCUCUGAAUCCCUUGCAGACAUUUCCCAGCACCAGCCUAGAGUGUGGCAGACCCAUUAGGCAGCUAGGCCCAGAAGAGCAACAACAUUCACAUUCUGGCUCUCAGGGACUCCUACUACUAGGGCAAGGGGUAGUACGUCACGUAAAGGGAACACUACGGCACAAAAGUAUCUGGAUAGCAGGCCUUCAGUCCCAGAUUUUUCCACUUGUGGAAUGUUUUUUUCAGCAGAGGCACAGUUGCAGUAAUGGGCUCAGCAGGGAAAGUCUGCAGUUCUACUCCAACAGUCAGGAAGCCCUGGUGCUCAUGAAGCAUCUUGGAGAAGAGGAAAUAUUUCCCCCCUUUUCCACCACUGAAGACAUAGCUGGGGCUUUUCUCUCAGGAGAGUGGCAUGGGUGCACAUAUAGACAGCUUUUCUGAAACACUUCAGGGUGAUCCACAUAGGAGGGGCACCCUCCAGGUGCAAGCUUGCAGGAGAUGUACAGUCACCAUUCGUCUCUACUUGGAGCAUCAACAUUCCUGCAUAAUAAAAGAGAUGCCUGUCUGAUCUGAAUACCCAGAACACUGGGUCAAGAGUAUGUGUGGGAGGUGGAUUGCUUUCCUGCUGUCCUGGCAGGGGAGUUGAGAUGGCUCCAGUCCUUUCCUCUGACAAGAACUCAGUGUGACUCACUGAGAGCUCCCCCAGCCAUCUCUGUCAAGGCUAGGACCCCUGCCCACCAUUGGGUAUUGCAUUCACCAACCUGCUUUAGUCAUAGACAGUUUUUAGCUAAGGACGCCUCCCAUACAGGCCAGAAACCUGAGUGAUUCAACCCAGUAAAUAAAAUACUGGGAAAAAUAAAUAAAUAAAUAAAUAAAUAAAUAAAUAAAUAAAUAAAG